GAGAUGGAUUGGUGCCUUCGGGAACUGUGAGACAGGUGCUGCAUGGCUGUCGUCAGCUCGUGUUGUGAAAUGUUGGGUUAAGUCCCGCAACGAGCGCAACCCUUAUCCUUUGUUGCCAGCGGUCCGGCCGGGAACUCAAAGGAGACUGCCAGUGAUAAACUGGAGGAAGGUGGGGAUGACGUCAAGUCAUCAUGGCCCUUACGACCAGGGCUACACACGUGCUACAAUGGCGCAUACAAAGAGAAGCGACCUCGCGAGAGCAAGCGGACCUCAUAAAGUGCGUCGUAGUCCGGAUUGGAGUCUGCAACUCGACUCCAUGAAGUCGGAAUCGCUAGUAAUCGUGGAUCAGAAUGCCACGGUGAAUACGUUCCCGGGCCUUGUACACACCGCCCGUCACACCAUGGGAGUGGGUUGCAAAAGAAGUAGGUAGCUUAACCUUCGGGAGGGCGCUUACCACUUUGUGAUUCAUGACUGGGGUGAAGUCGUAACAAGGUAACCGUAGGGGAACCUGCGGUUGGAUCAC
rnacentral:rRNA from 2 species